rnacentral:lncRNA from 1 species
GAAGGUAUAGAAGGGACCACCUAUUCUAGGUAGGGCAGCCACAAAGGGCCAGACAUGUAAGCUGAGGCUGUUGGUAGAGCUCAGGGAAGAGCAACCCAAGGUGAAGACACAAGGUGUGUACAAUUCUGGGCAUACCUCAACAACGGAAAGACUAGUGAAGCUGGCCCAGGAAUGGGGAACCGAACUGGCAGAUACAAGAUCAGUGAUGUCUUCUGGCUUUCAAGUUUUAAAACCUGUAUGCCCUUGAUCCUACUCCUUCCUCCACUAUUCACCUCCUUGGAAAUCUGAGAGACAUUCAUGUCCCAGGAGUGACCAGCUUGAAGAGAGCUGAAACCCAGCCCCAUUGCACAGCUGGCUCCCAAGGAUCUAUCUUGGCACCCAGCUAACUUCUCUACCCUGGAGGAUCAGGUGAAAGAAAAACACCAGAUGGGAAGAAAAGUGGAGAGAAUGAUUGAGCCUGGAACCUCAGCAUGGCAUUAUCCACAUGGGCUGUUUUAUCAGUAUGCCUUUUUGUAACCCCAGAUAAGGGAAAACUGUAGCCAGAAAAAGAUGAAAACAGGGAAAUUCAACCAUUGCAGGCAUUUAUUCUUAUCUUUUGUUUUUAUAAAGAAUGACAAAUAAUCUGAGGGUAUAAAAAUCAUUGCUUUGC